rnacentral:rRNA from 1 species
UGAGGAAUAUUGGUCAAUGGGCGCAAGCCUGAACCAGCCAUGCCGCGUGCAGGAAGAAUGCCCUAUGGGUUGUAAACUGCUUUUAUUUGGGAAUAAACCUCUUUACGUGUAGAGAGCUGAAGGUACCAAAUGAAUAAGCACCGGCUAACUCCGUGCCAGCAGCCGCGGUAAUACGGAGGGUGCAAGCGUUAUCCGGAAUCAUUGGGUUUAAAGGGUCCGCAGGCGGUCUUAUAAGUCAGUGGUGAAAGCCUACAGCUCAACUGUAGAACUGCCAUUGAUACUGUAGGACUUGAAUUCGGUCGAAGUGGGCGGAAUAUGACAUGUAGCGGUGAAAUGCUUAGAUAUGUCAUAGAACACCGAUAGCGAAGGCAGCUCACUAGGCCUGGAUUGACGCUCAGGGACGAAAGCGUGGGGAUCAAACA